UUAUUAGGUUGUCCUUGUCAUCACAACAAGUACUAAUACAUUCUUAUAACAUUGUUAAUAUUGAUAGUUAGUAGUGUUAUAAAUAACGCCUACUAAUAAAGGUGCACAGGUGUUGGUAAUGGAUAGGAGAAGAGAGUCCGAAGACUACAAAUUUCACUAAUGAUCCUUCCGCAGGUUCACCUACGGAAA
rnacentral:misc_RNA from 1 species